rnacentral:lncRNA from 1 species
GUGGGGAGGGGUGGACAUAGUUGCACCUGUGCAGAUAGAUUUACUUCCUUUAAAGAAAUACUUCUUUCACAACUACUGGGUUAGGCUGUCCUUCUUAGUAUGACAUUACUUGUCUUUUGGAGGUGUUGCUGUUACCUUCAAGCAUUGGGUCACAGAUCUUGGAGUGGACCCUAAAGGUGACAGAAAGCCUGUGCAAGCUUGGUCAACGUAGUUGCUAGAGAAAAAAAUGGGCCAAAGAGCAACAUCAUACUGUAUUCAUAUGGAGGGAGCUGGCGUUUUCUUGAAGGAAGCUGUCAAUUUUGCUUUCAAAAGCUAAUGAUAGGGAUGGAAAAUAAGAAGUUGGAAGGUGGGACCUAGAAUUAAAUAAAGAAAACUGUCUCCUAUUUGUAGUCCUUGAGAUAAGACUCAACUGGGUCUUGCACUGAUUGGGCUGUCACGCUAAAGGACACUUGCUUUGGAAUAAACCUAGUGACAAGUAACAGAGUGGGGUGAGGUAAGGAGUCAGGCCAGAAUUCAAGAAAAGAGACAGACAGUAGAGGAUUCCCGUGAAGGGGCCUGAGCCUGUGGACUCAGAAGGCAGUAAUAGAUAAUACUUAGUGUAAAGCCUUCGUAUGGUAGUUCUGCAUUUCAUAGUCCACCUUUCAGUCAGCUUGUGUUAAAUUCUACAUCCUAGUUUCCUUUUGGAAGAAGUAUAGCAGGGAGGAUGCUAUUCCCACACUUGGGGAAGAGAUGGUAUUGGAGAGAGGGACCAUCUCAAUGGUAGCUGAACUCUAGCCUACAAAAGUCCCCACUAAGAAAAGCAAGCAAUGUUCCAGAGUGGGGUGAUGCUGGGAUUGGGGGAGUAGGGUGCACAAAAGGCAUCCGUUGAACACAUCAAAUUCUCCAGGAAUAGAGCUGGCAAGAGACAGAAACUCAGGCUUUUGUAAUUUGUGAAUUAAAGGGAAAUAACUUCCUACACUGGUAAAGCCUGGGAUAUCAGGGUAUGUGACUGUGUCACCUUCUGGGUACAAGGCUUUGUUUUAGUUACUUAUCUUUCCAAGUCUCAGUUUUUCCAUCUGGAAACCAGGGAUAAAUAAGAGUGACAAUCUCAUAGGAUUUUUGUGACAAUUAAACAGGCCACAUAAUACCCUAGUACAUAGAAACUACUGAUAGUAUCAUUACUAUACCCAGAUGUGCUGGAAAGGGGAAUUAAUAAUAUACUAAGCAAAAAGCCCUCACAACUAAUCAUUAUGAGAAUACAUACAAGGAACAUAGACAGGACUGCUGUAGAAAGAAGAGGUGUUUUUAGCUCAUCAUUGACUCAGAGAUGAGAAAAAUAUUCCACUAGAAGUGUUCAGGCUGCCCCUUCCACAAAUCCAAAGAAUGGGGCUCUUGGGAUGUAGCAGUACCUCUAGGCUUUGAGUCUCACUUUCUUUAAGCAAUGAUGUGAUGGUGGAAACCCAUCUGCAGAAGCCCAGAGUUAUUUCAAACAAAAGGGUUGAUCUAGCAAACUCCACUGGGAAUGGGCCCCCAGAAUUUAGUACUAAGCUGUCUUGACCCAUUCUGUUCCAACAUCUUUGGUGGAAGCAAAAGGACAAAAACUUUGCCAUAAUUGUUUGGAUGCUCCAAUAGACAUGCCUAUAUUGGAGACUUGUCUCUCAGUGUCAUGCUGACCAAGAAGCCAUUCCCAGAGUUUCCUUGCCUGCCCCUGGCACAACAACUUCUGCCUACUCAGCUGUGAGUGGGAUUCCCUUUGGCACUUUGGCUCCAGACCUGCAGCC